rnacentral:rRNA from 1 species
GAAAACUGGGAAAACUUUGAGUUGCAGAAAGAGGAGAGUUGGAAUUCCACGUUGUAGCGGUGAAAUGCGUAGAGAUGUGGAGGAACACCAGUGGCGAAGGCGACUCUCUGGUCUGUAACUGACGCUGAGGAGCGAAAGCGUGGGGAGCGAACAGGAUUAGAUACCCUGGUAGUCCACGCCGUAAACGAUGAGUGCUAAGUGUUAGGGGGUUUCCGCCCCUUAGUGCUGCAGCUAACGCAUUAAGCACUCCGCCUGGGGAGUACGGUCGCAAGACUGAAACUCAAAGGAAUUGACGGGGGCCCGCACAAGCGGUGGAGCAUGUGGUUUAAUUCGAAGCAACGCGAAGAACCUUACCAGGUCUUGACAUCCUCUGACAACCCUAGAGAUAGGGCUUUCCCUUCGGGGACAGAGUGACAGGUGGUGCAUGGUUGUCGUCAGCUCGUGUCGUGAGAUGUUGGGUUAAGUCCCGCAACGAGCGCAACCCUUGAUCUUAGUUGCCAGCAUUCAGUUGGGCACUCUAAGGUGACUGCCGGUGACAAACCGGAGGAAGGUGGGGAUGACGUCAAAUCAUCAUGCCCCUUAUGACCUGGGCUACACACGUGCUACAAUGGACAGAACAAAGGGCUGCAAGACCGCAAGGUUUAGCCAAUCCCAUAAAUCUGUUCUCAGUUCGGAU